UAGUCCACGCCGUAAACUAUGAUUACUCGAUAUUGGCGAUAUACGGUCAGUGUCUAAGCGAAAGUGAUAAGUAUCCCACCUGGGGAGUACGUUCGCAAGAAUGAAACUCAAAGGAAUUGACGGGGGCCCGCACAAGCGGUGGAGCAUGUGGUUUAAUUCGAUGAUACGCGAGGAACCUUACCAGGGCUUAAAUGUAGUCUGACAGCUUUAGAGAUAGAGUUUUCUUCGGACAGAUUACAAGGUGCUGCAUGGUUGUCGUCAGCUCGUGCCGUGAGGUGUCAGGUUAAGUCCUAUAACGAGCGCAACCCCUGUUGUUAGUUGCCAGCGAGUAAUGUCGGGAACUCUAGCAAGACUGCCGGUGCAAACCGCGAGGAAGGUGGGGAUGACGUCAAAUCAUCACGGCCCUUACGUCCUGGGCCACACACGUGCUACAAUGGUAGGUACAGAGAGCAGCCACUGCGCGAGCAGGAGCGAAUCUAUAAAACCUAUCCCAGUUCGGAUC
rnacentral:rRNA from 1 species